rnacentral:rRNA from 1 species
GUGUACAGUCAUAGCACCCUGAAUGCAUGAAUUUUGUCUGAUCUUUGAAGCUAAGCAGGGUUGGGACAGGUUAGUUCUUUGGGAUUCUAAGAUGCUUUAUUUGCAGUAGGCA